ensembl:lncRNA
GUUAUACACACUGGGGCAGGGAAGGUGGGAAAGAACCUGAACAAGGUGGGAAGGGAAUCUGAAUUUUAUUUGGGUGGAUGUAGGCACGUUUUUUUCCUUUUGCCUUAGACACCAGACAUUUCAGUUAUUCAUCAUAUCUGGAGGUAACACUGCUAAUCUUAAUAGGUCACUGAGUAGGUCAGCUGAUGCACUCACUGAAAGUUGUUUACAGUAAUCAAGAUGAAUUUAUUCUCUUUAGACAUUGCUGUGUUUUGAUUGGGCCCCAGUAUGGUCUGUGGAAGCAGGCUUGAGAGGGGUUCAUUUCGUUUGUAGUUAAAGAUUCUGUUUGUCCUAAAGAUGGAAUCUUUGAUCUUCCUGAUUUCAUUAUAUUCCUCAAAACACUCGGAGCUGAUUGUUUUUGAGUACUCGUUCCAAAUUUUGGAUAGUUUCUUUGGAAAAUAGCCUAAGAUUUAACAUUUCAUCCGAAUUUAAAAGAUUGUUCAUUUUUCUUUUUAAGGGGAAAGAAAAAUCGGAGCAAUUGGGAAUUCUGGUUUCAUCUCAUGGAUAGAAAAAUGAGCCAUUUACGUGAGGAAAAGUGAUACUUCUGAAUCCCGCUCUUCAGUAAUGAGAACUAGACGGCUGACUGGUUCCCUGAUGUGUUACCUGCUUCUGCCACUGAUUGAAACUGCAGAACUUCUCAUUCGUCCCCAAGACUUCCAGUAGGGAAUCAGCUCUAAAAGAAACCAGACCAACGUUUGCCAGCCCCUUCAUUCUGCUACCUCUAUGUGAGGAAUGGAUAGAAUGCGUUCAGGGCAUCAUCGUGCAAAGCUCCAGUAGCAGUGACGCCUACACGGAAGACUUGGAACUGCAAACAGAGGCUGGGGUCACCUCAGUGGCAUCUGACGCCGUCCAACCAGAAGCUCGAUUUUUGUUUGGGGCGGGGGGUUGGGGAGUGUGAAGAAGCAGACUGUACUAAAGAAGUAAAACAAUUUCG